rnacentral:rRNA from 1 species
GACGAACGCUGGCGGCGUGCUUAACACAUGCAAGUCGAACGGAAAGGCCCUGCUUUUGUGGGGUGCUCGAGUGGCGAACGGGUGAGUAACACGUGAGUAACCUGCCCUUGACUUUGGGAUAACUUCAGGAAACUGGGGCUAAUACCGGAUAGGAGCUCCUGCUGCAUGGUGGGGGUUGGAAAGUUUCGGCGGUUGGGGAUGGACUCGCGGCUUAUCAGCUUGUUGGUGGGGUAGUGGCUUACCAAGGCUUUGACGGGUAGCCGGCCUGGGAGGGUGACCGGCAACGUGGGGAUGAGGUUCGGCCCCGGACCCCGCGGGGGGCAGGAGGGGGGGAAUAUGGCACAGGGGGGGGAGGCCGUAGGCAGCACCCCGGCGUGGGGAAGGCCGCCUUUCGGUUGGUAACCCGCUUCCGCCUGUGACGAAGGGGGGGUGACGGUAGGGGGAAAAGAAGCCCCGGCAAACUACGUG